rnacentral:rRNA from 1 species
UACGAAGGGGGGCUAGCGUUGCUCGGAAUUACUGGGCGUAAAGCGCACGUAGGCGGCUUUCUAAGUCGGGGGUGAAAUCCUGGAGCUCAACUCCAGAACUGCCUUCGAUACUGGAGCUUGAGUCCGGGAGAGGUGAGUGGAACUGCGAGUGUAGAGGUGAAAUUCGUAGAUAUUCGCAAGAACACCAGUGGCGAAGGCGGCUCACUGGCCCGGUACUGACGCUGAGGUGCGAAAGCGUGGGGAGCAAACAGGG